rfam:Glarea lozoyensis ATCC 20868 chromosome Tnknown GLAREA7, whole genome shotgun sequence.
ACAUACGACCAUAGAUUGUGGAAAAUAAGGCAUCCCGUCCGCUCUGCCAUCUUCAAGCCACAAAUCGGCAGAUUAGUAGUUGGGUGGGUGACCACCAGCGAAUACCUUCUGUUGUAUGUU